GAUGAACGCUGACGGCGUGCCUAAUACAUGCAAGUCGAGCGAACGGACGAGAAGCUUGCUUCUCUGAUGUUAGCGGCGGACGGGUGAGUAACACGUGGAUAACCUACCUAUAAGACUGGGAUAACUUCGGGAAACCGGAGCUAAUACCGGAUAAUAUUUUGAACCGCAUGGUUCAAAAGUGAAAGACGGUCUUGCUGUCACUUAUAGAUGGAUCCGCGCUGCAUUAGCUAGUUGGUAAGGUAACGGCUUACCAAGGCAACGAUGCAUAGCCGACCUGAGAGGGUGAUCGGCCACACUGGAACUGAGACACGGUCCAGAGUCCUACGGGAGGCAGCAGUAGGGAAUCGGACGCAAUGGGCGAAAGCCUGACGGAGCAACGCCGCGUGAGUGAUGAAGGUCUUCGGAUCGUAAAACUCUGUUAUUAGGGAAGAACAUAUGUGUAAGUAACUGUGCACAGCGUGACGGUACCUGAUCAGAAAGCCACGGCUAACUACGUG
rnacentral:rRNA from 1 species